GUAAGAUCUACAAAUAAGUCAACAUAACCUAAAUGGUCAAUUGACCCGUUUAGGAGUUAUUGCCCUUUAUAGUCAAUUUUUAACAAUUUUCAUUAAUUUGGUAAAUUUAUGUAAAUUUUUACCAAAUAUAGUUCUCUGUUACUAAUGGGCAAAGUUCAUUAUAGAUAUAAUUGUAAGAAGCAAAAUCGUUCAGUAAAGUAAGAACUUCAAACACAUCACCAUCACCAA
rnacentral:lncRNA from 1 species